rnacentral:rRNA from 1 species
GUGGGGAAUAUUGGACAAUGGGCGCAAGCCUGAUCCAGCCAUACCGCGUGGGUGAAGAAGGCCUUCGGGUUGUAAAGCCCUUUUGUUGGGAAAGAAAUCCUGUCGGUUAAUACCUGGCGGGGAUGACGGUACCCAAAGAAUAAGCACCGGCUAACUUCGUGCCAGCAGCCGCGGUAAUACGAAGGGUGCAAGCGUUACUCGGAAUUACUGGGCGUAAAGCGUGCGUAGGUGGUGGUUUAAGUCCGUUGUGAAAGCCCUGGGCUCAACCUGGGAAUUGCAGUGGAUACUGGAUCACUAGAGUGUGGUAGAGGGAUGCGGAAUUUCUGGUGUAGCAGUGAAAUGCGUAGAGAUCAGAAGGAACAUCCGUGGCGAAGGCGGCAUCCUGGGCCAACACUGACACUGAGGCACUAAAGCGUGGGGAGCAAACAGGAUUAGAUACCCCUGUAGUCC